rnacentral:rRNA from 1 species
AUGGCAUUCACAUAUCUUGGACUACCACUUGGUACAUCCAAACCAUCGGUCCAAGACAAAAUGCCUAUUGUCUAUAAUAUGGAAAGAAGGCUCACAUCUACAUUAUCCUUGAUGUCCUAUGGCUCCAAACUUUCCUUACUAAACACGGUCAUCACCUCACUUACAAUUUUUGCACUUUGCACUCUGAGAUUUCCACCAAAAAUCCUUAAGCUGUUGGACAAACUAAGAAGGAGAUGCCUCUGGACAAAGAUGACAGAACAAGGUGAAAAAUGCAACUCUCUAGCUGCUUGGGACAGAGUUUGCAAGCCCAAGAAGAGUGGGGGGCUUAGAAUCAUUAAUCUUAAGAUACAAAGUGAUGCUCUCCUCCUAAAAUACUUACACAACUUUUACAACCGUCAUGACCUUCCUUGGGUGGACUUGCUUUGGACCACCUACUAUACCAAUAAAAUCCCACAUGCCUCUGACCCAUGUGGAUCAUUCUGGUGGAGGAACAUCCUCAAGCUAACUCCCAUUUUUAGAGGAAUCUCAGAAGUUGACAUGAGAUGUGGAGACAAUGUACUAAUGUGGAAAGACCUAUGGUUGGAAGAAAUUAUAUCUAACACACAUCCUAGA